rnacentral:rRNA from 1 species
GACGAACGCUGACGGUGUGCUUUAGACAUGCAAGUCGAACGAGAAAGCCCUCGGGUUAGUAAAGUGGCGAACGGGUGAGUAACACGUGGGCAACCUGCCCCUCGCAGGGGGACGAACCGGAGGAAACUCCGGCUAAUACCCCGUAACGUUCAAAGGGAGGCAUCUCUCUUCGAAGAAAGGUAGCUUCGGCCAUCCGGCGAGGGAUGAGCCCGCGGUGCAUUAGCUAGUUGGUGGGGUAACGGCCUACCAAGGCGACGAUGCAUAGCUGGUCUGAGAGGAUGAUCAGCCACACUGGGACUGAGACACGGCCCAGACUCCUACGGGAGGCAGCAGUCGGGAAUCUUGCGCAAUGGGCGAAAGCCUGACGCAGC